rnacentral:lncRNA from 1 species
UUAAAGGGAUACCCGCCAUCGUCAGAAGAAUUCAGUUUGCUUUGCCAGAUGUUGUUCUGUGUGGUUUGAGCGGGUGGUACAUGAACGGAUGUCGAGUCCAAGCGCUAACUCUCCAGGCAGCUCACACGUGCACAUGCACCAUUUUUCCGGUUGGCGCACCGGCUUCUAUCCGCAGUAGUGGAUGAGCCAUGUGUGUAGGGGGGAGUAAUUAUUGGGUUGCCAUUGGUAGGGCAAAGGCGCAGGGCCAGCGAAAGGGCUGCGCAAGGACGUGUGAACAACCUCAGCGCAUGACUGCAACCUGAUGCGCAAACCUCAUCACACCUUUCGAAGCAAAGGUGAACCCUUGUGUAUUGCCAUCCAAGAACGAUCCACUUUCUUGUCAGGAGUCGACGUAUCUCAGCGCAUGUCGUGCAGGCAACACGAGGUGAUGCAGUGGGUAGCGUGCCGCGCAGGACACACGUGCAUUGCCUGUAGGCAUUGACCUGACGAAAUGACAUGAAGUUGUGUUCUUCGCUGUGGGCAGAACAAAGGGGUUCGGCUGGGUCAAUAGUAUUGCGAUGCACGCAAGUUAUGUUCUUGUAAUAGUAUAAGCAAAUCACAAAAGGUCUAUAUUGUAUCUUUUGUUGGUAGGAAGUGUGCCGAGUAGACCGUUGCCAUGCAGAUGGCGGAAUCCGCAAAAACUUCUGGUUCCAUAAUUUAAAGUUCGGUUGUGACCAAUCAUUUUGCAG